UACGUAGGGGGCAAGCGUUGUCCGGAUUUAUUGGGCGUAAAGAGCGUGUAGGCGGCUUGGUAGGUCCGCUGUGAAAACUCGAGGCUCAACCUCGAGAUGUCGGCGGAAACCACUUGGCCAGAGUCCGGAAGAGGAGAGUGGAAUUCCUGGUGUAGCGGUGAAAUGCGCAGAUAUCAGGAAGAACACCUAUGGCGAAGGCAGCUCUCUGGGACGGUACUGACGCUGAGACGCGAAAGCGUGGGGAGCGAACAGG
rnacentral:rRNA from 1 species